UACGAAGGGGGCUAGCGUUGCUCGGAAUUACUGGGCGUAAAGGGCGCGUAGGCGGACAGUUUAGUCAGAGGUGAAAGCCCAGGGCUCAACCUUGGAACUGCCUUUGAUACUGACUGUCUUGAGUUCGGGAGAGGUGAGUGGAAUGCCGAGUGUAGAGGUGAAAUUCGUAGAUAUUCGGCGGAACACCAGUGGCGAAGGCCACUCACUGGCCCGAUACUGACGCUGAGGCGCGAAAGCGUGGGGAGCAAACAGG
rnacentral:rRNA from 1 species